rnacentral:rRNA from 1 species
GAACCUUACCUGGGUUUGACAUGCACAGGACGCCGGCAGAGAUGUCGGUUCCCUUGUGGCCUGUGUGCAGGUGGUGCAUGGCUGUCGUCAGCUCGUGUCGUGAGAUGUUGGGUUAAGUCCCGCAACGAGCGCAACCCUUGUCUCAUGUUGCCAGCGGGUAAUGCCGGGGACUCGUGAGAGACUGCCGGGGUCAACUCGGAGGAAGGUGGGGAUGAGGUCAAGUCAUCAUGCCCCUUAUGUCUUGGGCUGCAAACAUGCUACAAUGGCCGGUACAGAGGGCUGCGAGACCGUAAGGUGGAGCGAAUCUCAAAAAGCCGGUCUCAGUUCGGAUUGGGGUCUGCAACUCGACCCCAUGAAGUCGGAGUCGCUAGUAAUCGCGAAUCAGCAACGUCGCGGUGAAUACGUUCCCGGGCCUUGUCACACCGA